AGAGUUUGAUCCUGGCUCAGGACGAACGCUGGCGGCGCGCCUUACGCAUGCAAGUCGAACGGACUCGGUUUCGGCCGGGUCAGUGGCAGACGGGUGAGUAACACGUAAGCGACCUGUCCGUGAGUGGGGAAUAACUCCUCGAAAGGGGAGCUAAUACCGCAUGCGCUCGCGCAAGCGAGCAAAGCCGUAAGGCGCUCACG
rnacentral:rRNA from 1 species